rnacentral:rRNA from 1 species
UACGUAGGGUGCAAGCGUUAUCCGGAAUUAUUGGGCGUAAAGAGCUCGUAGGCGGUUUGUCGCGUCUGCUGUGAAAACCGGAGGCUCAACCUCCGGCCUGCAGUGGGUACGGGCAAACUAGAGUGCGGUAGGGGAGAUUGGAAUUCCUGGUGUAGCGGUGGAAUGCGCAGAUAUCAGGAGGAACACCAGUGGCGAAGGCGGUGCUCUGGGCCGGAACUGACGCUGAGGAGCGAAAGCGUGGGGAGCAAACAGG